rnacentral:lncRNA from 1 species
GGCCCGCCGUCCUCCAUGGGCGGGGGAGGGAAGCAGGUGGAUGAUCCGACUCCAGCCGUCAAGGCCCCCUGACCUGUCCUGCCCUCCUCUUGCCGUGACUUACGCUUGGAAAGGAACUAGCAUUUCUGGUUGGGCGUGUUUUAUUUAUAGUGCAAGAACAUCUACCGCAUUCCCCACAAAGUGGGCCGAUGUAGCUACCAGCCUCCCGGGCCAGCCGGAGCCCAUCAGCAGGUCCCACGGAGCAGGAGCCCCCCUGUCGCGAGCCGUUCACAGCCCGGGACCAGAAAGGACGGGGACGCCCGCAGCCGAGAUGGGUGUUUAUGCGGAUGGGCUCAGGCACCAGGGGCACCUCGCUCUCUGCGAGUUUCCUCCAACCACGUCUCGCGUUCAGGUGCCCGGAAAGUGCAGGUUAUUUCUGCCUGGACGUUGGCGGGAACCAGCCUGUGGGCAGAUCCAUCCAGUGGAGACUUUUGUAAAGGCACACCUUCCUGAGACCAUCGGACAGAUGCAGCUUCAGGAUACCUGUGACUCACAACCGAAGGUGAGGCGGGUUCUGCACAUCACCACCGCCCAGAACCUCUGAAGUGUCAGGUCUCCUGAACUCAGGGGCGCAGAAAACCCCUACCACGCAGGAGUGCCAGGACCCCAGCCUUCUCUCCUCGGGAGUUACUGUGAUGGAAAAAAACACGCAACCUAGAAGUUGGGAGAUGUGUGUUAUUCAGCAGACAAAACCGAGGACUUAAGCCGGGACACAGGGGGUCAGAGAAUUCUGAGAAACUGCAUCAAAGAGGCCAGGAGUCUUUGCCACAAAGACCAGGCGAAAGAACAUCAAAGAUGGCUGUUGACUGAAGAAAACCAGACGUCCCAAAUGAGGGAGCCGAGCACCCUUCUAGGCCUGGGGACAUGCCAGAGGCUGGGGCGUGGAAGCCAGGCCUUCACUGUGCACCUCAGCUCCCUGAGUGUCCUGAGUUUUCUCACUCCGAGUUUCCUUAGGCUGCACCUUCGGGGGCGGGGGGUUGGCUGCAGGGCGGGCUCGUCUCCUCCCUGAGUUCCCCGGGGGCCCGUCCCUCCUCCGCUCCGGGUGGGAGGCUGGGAUGUGUGGGCUUGACGGUGGCAGCCUCCUCUGUUUACCGAUACGGCAGCAGCCUGGUUCACUCCCAUUGCUGACUCCCCAGGCACGGCUUUCUCACUGGUGUCACGGGCAGUGGUGGGUCUACUUGACCAGUGACCCGUGGACAGGCCCCUAAACCACGCCUGGCCCAGUGUGCAAAUGGCUGAACCCAACUCUCAGACCUGCCCAACUUUUUGGCUUUCCUUUUUUCCAAAUUUCAGGGCACCUUUCUUUUUUAAUUUUUUUGGGUCUUUUUAGGAUUGCACUCUCGGCAUAUGAAGGUUCCCAGGCUAAGGGUCGAAUUGGAGCUACAGCUGCCGACCAACACCACAGCCACAGCCACAUCCACGCCAGAUCUGAGCCGCCUCUUCGACCUACACCACAGCUCCCGGCAAUGCCAGGUCCUUAACCACCGAGCAAGGCCAGGGGUGGAACCUGCGACCUCACGGAUGCUCGUCAGACUCAUGUCCGCUGUGCCGU